rnacentral:rRNA from 1 species
CAGCAGCCGCGGGAAAACGAAGGGGGCUAGCGUUGUUCGGAAUUACUGGGCGUAAAGCGCACGUAGGCGGAUUUUUAAGUCAGGGGUGAAAUCCCGAGGCUCAACCUCGGAACUGCCUUUGAUACUGGAGAUCUUGAGUUCGGAAGAGGUUGGUGGAACAGCUAGUGUAGAGGUGAAAUUCGUAGGUAUUAGCUAGAACACCAGUGGCGAAGGCGGCCAACUGGUCCGAUACUGACGCUGAGGUGCGAAAGCGUGGGGAGCAAACAGGAUUAGAUACCCCUGUAGUCCCUGUCUCUUAUAC